rnacentral:rRNA from 1 species
GGUAUUCUGACUGUGCUAAGGUAGCAUAAUCAUUUGUUUCUUAAUUGGGAGCUAGAAUGAAAGGUUAAACUAAUUUUACUGGUUUGUUUAGUUAUAUAUUAGAUUUAAGUCAAGGUAAGAAUUCUUUGAUUUUCUAGGGGACGAUAAGACCCUAGAAGCUUAAUAAGGAGGGUGUAGUUAGAGUUAUAAUUAUCUUAUUUUACUGGGGCGGUAAUAGUAGGGAAACUACUUAAUUUUUGGGUGAUCCUUAAGAUAAAGAUAUAUCGGAGAAGUUACUCUAGGGAUAACAGUGUUAUAUUUUUGGAGAGGCCUUAUCGAUAAAAAUGUUUACAACCUCGAUGUUGAAUUAAGAGUGUCUUUAUACAGUAGAAGGUAAUAAAGAGGGUUUGUUCAACCUUUAAAUUCUUACAUGAUCUGAGUUCAAACCGG